CUAGAAGAGAAAUUAAAAAAACAAAGGAUCAGCACAAUUUUAAGGUUCUCAUUAAAUAUUUUAAUUUUUUUUUCCAAAAACAAACUCCCAAGUUACACUGCCACAAGUUGUGGAUGGGAGGGCUGGAUUUCCUGAACCCUUCCCAGCAUUGCUCGAGUUUCUUGGUUCCUCCGCUAGAGAAGAGGAGCCCCAGAGCUCUGUAGGCUCCAGAAAAUUCAACUUUAUGCUGUCUACAAGAGGCAUACUAACUCAUAAAAAUUAAAAGACUGACCCAGAAAACACAGCAAAAAGAAAAAUAUCACGAAAUGAUUGUCAGUCCAAUUAAAAUUCAAGACUGGAAGAAUUCAUGGGUCAGAGAAGCUGGUACAAGUGGAUCUGCUCGGCACCUAUAACCUAAUUACCUCUCAGGCUCACACAAGUCUCUGGCCGCUAAGCGAAUGAUCUCCCAAAGGGAUUAUUCUCAAGCAGCACAGAAACUGUCCCUAUGCCUCAGGUGGCCCCAGAACUCUUUCGUACUAGAGACUUAUCUGUUAAUAAAGUUAACAAAGGAAAGUGGCCUUCCAAGAAUGUUUGUUUGGGCCACUACCUGGAAGAAAUAACACUUGACCAUGAGAGACUUGGCUGAGCAGUGCUGGGUCAGCUUAACCAAAGAAGACCAGCCAUCACCCACGGCAAGAGCAGCUCUGACUUGGACCCACUGUUCCCCCAGCCUGUUAGCAGCCUGUGAACAAUCUUUAAGUGACCCCUGGCCCUGUCACAUCUCCAUUCAACAGGGUUCUUGGGGAGGAUGUGUGGACCGAGAACAGUGCCCACCCACACCACCUGUAAGUGUGGCCACGGCAGCCAGCCAGCAUGGAUGCUAAGUAACAAGUGGUAUUGGGGCACAGAUGUGGCGGGAGCGCUUUGGGGCAAAGAAAGAGGUGCUGUGAGUGAGGACAGAAAGGAAGGGGAAAAAAAAGCCUCAUGGGUUAGAGCGCCUCUCACCUUUGGCUCUUCUUCAGAAGACUGGUAAAAGAAAACAAGAAGAGAAAUUGGUUUCCCUGACUUCUCUAAAGCAAGCGUUCUUCAGAAAAGAGAAUCGAUCAGCCUGGUUAAAGUGGAUAAACUAUGUGAUGUCCAUCCAGAGAGGUGUCUAUUAAUGGCUGUAAAAUGGAAAGAUGAAUCAAUGGGACCGAUUAAUAUUUAUGAAGAGUUGAACUAGGCAGAGUGAAAAAGCCUUGUAUAUUGGAUAAGAAAGGAAAAGCAUUGCACACCAUAGGAUGCGUUUGUUUGGCUAAGGUUUCUGUUUUGAUCACUGGGUAAUUGUAUAGAGCAGGGGCGUAUGGUAGAGAAAGAAAAUCUAUAUCUAGAAGUUAUUGACUUUAUGUACAAAAGCACUGGUUGGUGCCUAUUUUUGAGGACCACUCCAUCUUAAAAAUAACUUUGGUUUUGUACGGCCUAGUUGUGGUGGAAAAGGAGCUCCAAAGAGUAAGCAAGUUUCCUACAAAAAGAAUCCAAGCUGUUGAAACUACAAUUAAGAAAUGCAAAGAGUUACUAAUUUUACUACUUAGAGGAAAGGAAAUUCACAAGCAGGAAAGAAACUGUGGAUCAGGGCAAGUUGUAACUCUAGAGGUUCAGAGAUAGGAGCUCUAAUUACACCAGGGCAAGGGAGUACUGUUUGGGGAAAUUUCUGAAACAUGAAAUAGGAAAGCUGAGGGUCAAAAUGAUAUUGUGAUGUGAAUAAAUAGAGAAGACAUGUUUGCAUGGAGCUCAGCUGGGUAAUCAUGGAAAGAAGGAGGGGCGAAGGAGGAAACUGAAAAUCGAAAUAAAGAACAGAAGCACAGACCAUGAAAUAUGCCAAAUAUAGUGUGCAAAUACUCAGAAGGCAUGGAAAGAUAAGUUAGAAGCCAAAACUCAGUUAUCACUAUCGUGUGAAGGAACAAUAAAACUCUUAGCAAAAACAAAUGACUUAGCAUGAGACCAAUACUGCUUUCCUUAGGUAGCUUGGUCCAGAGGGAAAAGGCUGAUAUCACUCCCUAUCAAGGGUUUUUAGACGGUUUAAGUGAGCUCUGCAAGUGGGAGACACGGUGAUGAUUAUUGACAGUUGCUAUCUUUCAAGGGGGAGAAGCAAACUGAUGUUACACAUUAGAAUUAGUUAGCACCACCGAACACAGGUUACAAAAAUACUGGGAGGAAUUCUCUCUCCUGAGCACAUUACGCAAUAUUUGCAAAUGUGUGCAGGUAAGUGUUGACUCUCUCAUCAUGCUGGACCUGGAAAUGGUUCUCAGCAAAUCAUGGCAUGAUUUCUUUUUCAAAGUUGGGUACACGAAUAUUAUCGUAACCAGCUAAGAGCAGGGAGACGUGGCAUGGGAGACUAACAGAUAGUGCAGCUUUUAAGAGAAGACGUAGAAAUCAAUCUAGUAACAAAUAUUUAUUAAGCAUUGGAGUGUGCUAGGCACCAAGAGAAAAGAAACCUCCACAGCUGAUAAAGCCUUUCAAAAUAAUGUCCUCAGUUAAUUUGCACAUUUCCAUGAGGUAGGUGUUGUUAGCCAUUUCCGUUAAUGAGAAAAAAAAAAAUGAGAUUCAGAAAGGUUAAUUAAAUUGGAGAUCUCCUGAUUUUUUAGUUUUAUAUCCUUCCCGUGUCCUUUCCAGGCUUAUAUUCUGGUCCUAUCACUUCUCAGCUGAGUUACUUCAACAAGUUAUUUAUUCUCUGUGUUCCCAGCUGUCAAAAUGAAAAUGCCAGUACCCACCUGGUAAGGAGUGAGAGAACAUUUAUAAAAAUGCUCGGCUGGGUACCUGACACAUAGGAGGUCCUCAGUAAAUUUGUUUUCUCCCUUUCUUCCUGAAGUACGGUGGCAGAGGGAUUCAGCCAGCCAGCCUGGGUAGCACAAGCCAUGAUGCCCUGCUGAAUCUGUGUUCUAGGGUCGGACAGGGGGAGUCCUUUUGCCUAGAGGGAUGGUGUGCGAGGCCUAAGAGGACUUGGGCAGAGUCUUGAAGGACGAGCAGGAUUUGCUGUGGUGGAGAGGUGGUCACGGGUUGAGCAGAUAGGAGAACCAAGGAAUCAAGGCAGGGAAAGAGAGGGGAUGCAUGUGAAGGGCCAGGAGCUGUUAACUAGUUUGCUAAGCAGCAGGCGAGGAUUUAGAAGGAGUUGGAGAAGUGUGGAGGGAGCUGAGGCUCUUGUGAGGGGAACUUUUAUGCUAAGGGUUCCAACUUGGCCCUGUGAAUGAAGGUGAGCUGGGGAAGGUUUGUGAACUUGGAGUCUCACCUGUAAAAGAUUAAUCUGGUGCCAGUGUACAGAAUGGACCGUCAAGGAAGAGGUGGAAAAACAAGGAAAAUUUGUAUUUUAUAGACACACACACACAUAGACACAGAGCCCUUUUUAUUAGAAAACAUAUAAUCAACUUAACCCCAUUUUAAAUGGCUUGGACAUUAAUUUUACUCUUGUAAUUGAUUAUAGAGGUUUAAAACUGUUGUGUUUUUGCCUUUGUGACAUAUUAUGGCUGUAUCUAAAAUUUAUUUGAUGUUAAAUCAAGAACAAAACUCUUCAAUUCUAUUGUUGUUCCUAAGGUAAAAUAUAAUCUACUUUGAGUCAAUUCACUGUGUCAUAAACUUUCCAGGAAUGGGAAACUUGAUAAAAAGCAGAGACUCACUGCAUAUGACAAUAAUUAAAUCUAUAUUCAACAAGUAUAAAAGAAUGGUUGUAGGGGUGAGCAAUUUGGAAGAAAAAAAGCCACUUGACUUAAAUAUGACAGAAAAUCAUACUGAGGUCUGACACCCCAUGACCUUUUUUGAGAUUU
rnacentral:lncRNA from 1 species